rnacentral:lncRNA from 1 species
CUUGCCUGUGGCACACCGGCUUCUGGCUGAAGGCCUCUCUUGGAAGCUGUCUUGCAGCUGCCUGAGCCCUUUGUCUCAGGGAAAGCCCCAAGCGAGUGGCUGCUGACCAGACGCCGCCGUUUGGCCCACGGCGCUUUUGCUUUGGUGGUGGAAGAAACUAGGUUCAGGGCUUAGGAAGGCAUCUCUUCUAAGUAGCUGGUAGUUUUUGUUUUUGUCUUUGUGUUAACUUUUUCCAACAGCCCGGCCAGAAAUAAUGGGUACCUGGCAGCCCUCUGGGCUCCGUUUGUUUUGAAGUCAAGACGCCCCAGCCAGAUUAUGCCUUGCAAGCUGAAGCUGGAGGACCUAAUAUAAACUUAAGAGAGAUUCAUGUCUACUGCUGUGUAAGCCACUCAAAAAGCUACCUGAGUGCCCAAUGACACCAUCAGAGACAUUUCAAACUGCAAAAGAUGCAUUGACCCUGACUUCUAGGAAUCUUGAUUGGCUGCCCAUUGUGCUCAAGAACUAGUUUAUAAUUUUCUCAAACCGUUAACCUUGUUUUUCUCUUUGUGUUCCUCUAGAAAAACUUCUUAUUAAAUACCUGGUUACUUACUUACGUGAUACAGGCCUAACUUUGGGAGCCCACCUACAUCACCAACUUAUUAAAAGACUGGUUCAAUGAGAUGGAACAGCCUAGGCCCUGAUUCAACGGGAAGUAGCUACAUCUGGCACUGCCCCAAAUCCCUCAAGAUUGAGGGAUGGACAUAAAAUAGGGGGGCAUUGAUACUGACCCUGAUAUCAGUUUCUCUACAUUACCCCCAGCAUAUAUUGGGUUAAAACCAAAACAGUCUUUCUCUGCUUACUCCCUGGCUUCCUGGCUUCAGAAUCCGCUAUCCUCCGUGGAGACAGACACAGCCAAGGACAAGCACCUGGAUUCACUCUCUCCUGCCAGCAAGGAGAUAGAGCCUGGUGGGAAAGCUGCUGACCAGCAAGGUCGCAGGCUCCCUCCUCUCUGCAAAUAGUCUAAAGGCCAAAGACAGGCUGGUGGGAAAGCUCCAACCAGCAAGGCCGUGUGCUCCCCCUCCCCUACCUAAAACCCCAAAUAAAAACCCUUCCUUUUAGCUUUCCGGGGAGUUCGAGAUUUCAGUGUUCGCUGCCCUCUCUUCUUGCUCAGUGCUGUGCAAUAAUAAAAUUCCUACUUUCUUCCACUAACCCAGGUGUCAGAGCUUGGCUUGCUGUGCAACAGGUGAGCGAACUCAUUUCAGGUUUG